rnacentral:rRNA from 1 species
GGUCCCACCUCUUCCCAUUCCGAACAGAGAAGUUAAGCCCGCCUGCGCCGAUGGUACUGCAAUGCAAUGCGGGAGAGUAGGAGGCCGCCACUU